rnacentral:tRNA from 1 species
GCCUGGGUAGCUCAGUUGGUUGGGCGUCUGACUUCAGCUCAGGUCAUGAUCUUACAACUUGUGGGUUCAAGCCCCACGUCGGGCU